CCCCCCCCCCCCACCCAACGAGCUCCAGCUGCGACCCGCUGUACUGGCACUGCUUGUAUCUUGAUUGUGUUCUUUUGCUGCUCACACUACUUCUCUUUCCCCAGUCCCCGAGCUGCUGCUUGUUCGCUUCUCAACCGUGGCUGCUGUGCCUGUGGUUCCCCUUGCCACCCUCCUACUUGCCACCCUCCUAUUUGUGGCUGUGGUGUCUCAGGACAACCUGUCACGGCCUUAGUUUGUGAACUUUUGAGGUACAUGUGAUUCCUUCCGACAUAAAGAUCGAAAGAGGCACACUUCGAACUUAGUAUCACGUGUAAGACCUUCUUUCUUGGUUGAUUCAAUGCUUUUAUGAAUGAUCAUCACGUGAAAUGCGUGCUUCAAUUGA